AGAGUUUGAUCCUGGCUCAGGAUGAACGCUGGCGGCGUGCCUAAUACAUGCAAGUCGAACGCUUCACUUCGGUGAAGAGUGGCGAACGGGUGAGUAAUACAUAAGUAACCUGGCAUCUACAGGGGGAUAACUGAUGGAAACGUCAGCUAAGACCGCAUAGGUGUAGAGAUCGCAUGAACUCUAUAUGAAAAGUGCUACGGGACUGGUAGAUGAUGGACUUAUGGCGCAUUAGCUGGUUGGUAGGGUAACGGCCUACCAAGGCGACGAUGCGUAGCCGACCUGAGAGGGUGACCGGCCACACUGGGACUGAGACACGGCCCAGACUCCUACGGGAGGCAGCAGUAGGGAAUUUUCGGCAAUGGGGGAAACCCUGACCGAGCAACGCCGCGUGAAGGAAGAAGUAAUUCGUUAUGUAAACUUCUGUCAUAGAGGAAGAACGGUGGAUAUAGGGAAUGAUAUCCAAGUGACGGUACUCUAUAAGAAAGCCACGGCUAACUACGUGCCAGCAGCCGCGGUAAUACGUAGGUGGCAAGCGUUAUCCGGAAUUAUUGGGCGUAAAGAGGGAGCAGGCGGCACUAAGGGUCUGUGGUGAAAGAUCGAAGCUUAACUUCGGUAAGCCAUGGAAACCGUAGAGCUAGAGUGUGUGAGAGGAUCGUGGAAUUCCAUGUGUAGCGGUGAAAUGCGUAGAUAUAUGGAGGAACACCAGUGGCGAAGGCGACGAUCUGGCGCAUAACUGACGCUCAGUCCCGAAAGCGUGGGGAGCAAAUAGGAUUAGAUACCCUAGUAGUCCACGCCGUAAACGAUGAGUACUAAGUGUUGGGUGUCAAAGCUCAGUGCUGCAGUUAACGCAAUAAGUACUCCGCCUGAGUAGUACGUUCGCAAGAAUGAAACUCAAAGGAAUUGACGGGGGCC
rnacentral:rRNA from 1 species